UGAUGAAGAAAUAAAUGUUUAUUCUGACUCCCGCAAAAGUAUUUUACAUUUGAGUUUCUAAACAAUGUAAAAUUUACACUUACAUUUAUUUGAAAAUGGACACUAAUAAGAUCACAUUUAUUUUACAUUAUAAUUACGGGAUUGAUUGUUAAUGAAAAUAAGGCACACAGAAGACAAAAUGGCAUUGAUUUGCUAUUAUCUGUUUUAUUCUGUAUUUAGGCUAUUUUUAGUCUUUGGGAAGGGAAGAAUUGCAAGUAUUCUGUACAGCAUUUAUGAACUAUACAAAAUAACUGUAAACAACCAGUGCCAUAAAAAUGCAAAAAAAUAUCUUUCAGAAGACACCUCCUCUUGUAUUUUUCAGAUAUUUCCAUUAGUGAUCCAUCUUUCAGAAGUAAUGAAUCAUCCUGGAUGUCAUUUGCACCCUUUUAUAUCCGGCAUAAGACCCAUAUCAAACUGCAGUUUCAGCCUCUAUCUCCAGAUGGUAUCUUGUUUUACACUGCACAACAUUUGAGUACUCAGUCAGGUAAGGAUCUUUCAGCUUGCUGGUAUCAUACAUGCAGGGACUUUUUUGAAGAAAAAAGGCAGUACACUGAAGUGAUUCAGGCAUUCAGUCUCUGUAAAUCACCGUCCACAGUGACUGGGUUUUGAACUGUGAAUAACCAAGUUUGUCAGAAAAAAACAUAACAGAGCAUAAACAAGAAAAAACAUAAAAUUUUGGACUAACCCAAAGCCAUCAAGUAUUUAAUGAAGUCGUUCCGGAAACCAUUUUCCCCUGAAAAGUAACUCUAGCCAGCCUUACAACAGACAUUUACUGAUACUGCUCCCACAGUUUCAGUGCAGCUACACUAGGAUUCACGGUCUGGGAGUUUGGCCCAGUGUUUUAAAAUGACCAGAAAUAAAGCAAUAUAAAAACUGAUCAAACAAGUUAUGUGAAAGUGAACAGAUUGCGAGAGAUUUAUGAGCUUUAUUGCAAGUUUAACUUUUUAUUACAUAAUGCUGAAAAUCUUGCUGGCGCAGCAUGCAAAAACAUUCAAAAGUUCUGCAUUUGCCAGCUCUACAGGGUGAAAAACAAAUGUAAAUAAGGUAUUUCCACUAUUUGUAGAAGUAUUUUAAGCUUUACUGAACCAUAGAAUCAUAGAACAGCAGGUUAGAAGGCACCUCGAGGAUCAUCUGGUCCAACCUUUCUUUGCAAAAACAGUCUAUACCAGAUGUCCCAGCACCCUGUCCUGCCGAAUCUUAAAAGUGUCCAACACUGGGGUAUCCACCACUUCUGUAGGGGGAUUAUUGCAAGGGCUGGUUGUUCUCAUGGUGAAAAACGUUCAUCUUGUGUCCAACCAGAAUCUCCCCAGGAGUAACUUGGGCCCACUCGUAUUUUCCAGGUGAUUCCUUGUAACAGUUUGUUACAUACUGAGUUAACAUUCCUAAAACUUCAUGGCAAAAAAACAUUAUUUGCCAACCACUGUAAAUACAUUUUAAAAUUUAGUCUUUAAGGUGUGACUCUGUUGUAAUUACUUUAUUAACAUACUUUAUACUGCAUUUAUGUGGUAUCUUGCACAUUUUUAAACAGAAGCAUUACAAGUAGUAUGUUUUGCAGAACCAGGCCUUCGUAUGACAAAAAAAAAAAAAAAAAAAAGCUCAACUAUGUAACAGUCCUUUGUUCAAAGCUUAAAGCUUUGAGACAUUUCAAUAAACACACUCAAGCACAUAUGCAUGGAAACACACAUAUGCCCAAGUUACCAAAUUAUUCUAUACACAGAUGUUUUAACAGGCUGCUCUUUGAUAAGACUGAUAAUACAUUAAACACUGCUGGCACCUCCCGUUUGCCUUGUUCUAAUUACAACCGCAUGCAGAGAACAGCUUCAAAGAAAAAUAUAUGGCAUAUCUGUAAUACAAAUACAUUUAUUUGCAAAGAACUCUGUUUUCCACAAUGAAUCUUCUAUAAUUCUAUCACUUACAGGCCAAAUUCUGAGAUUCUCAGUGAAUAGUUCUCUCCUGUAUAAACUAAAGCAUUACAUGGGCCAUGAAAACAGAAGAGAAAAAAAGGAUCUCUCUCAAAAGAAUAGUCAAAGGUGAGGGAAGCAGCUAGCAUAUAAAGAAAUUAAGUAUCUCUUUGGAAGCAUCAAAGAGAGUGCUAAGUCUGUUUAACUUGGACCAGGAGUGUUUUAGCAUGAGCAUGCCUUCAUUCUAUCGCCAUUCAUGAACGUUUAGUUUGAACAGGAAGAAAUAUUUUCUUUAAAUCAUUUUCUAGAAUCAUA
rnacentral:lncRNA from 1 species